AAGAUGUUGUCAAACCUGGAACAAAGAUGCGCGUUUAAGGGUUCAAGGGAAGAACUCGCGCAAUUUGGUUUCUUGUCAGAUCCAUGUUGCUCCGAUAAUCACUAUUUCAGACCAUGAAAAAAGAGAGGAAAAAAAUCCAAGGCUCAGGUUGAGCAUGUGUGGGUCAGAGGCAAGAGGCAUGGCAUCUGAGUGGAUCAGCAGGGCUAACUCGAAGUAUGCUCACAGGCAGAGUGUAGCACUGAAGCUGGCUAUGGGAGGCAGGGUAUUGAGCUGGUUCCCAAAGAUGGGGGUCCAAGUUGGCCAGGGAUUAUUGACAGGCUAAGGAAGAGGUUAGCAGGGCAGAAAGGAAAUGGGUAAACAAGCCCACAACUAGCUUUGUAACUACAUGCCAAGAAACAUACAUACAUAUAUACAUAUACACACACAUACAUACACACCAUAUAUACAUACACACAUACACACACACACAUACAUACAUACAUGCAAACAUACAUACAUACAUACAUGCACACAUACAUGCAUACAUACAUACAUAUAUAUAUACAUAAACACAUACAUACAUUACACACACAUAUAUCACUGGAGCAGUUGAGAGAAACUUCCUGUCUAUAGGACACUGGAUACAAACCCCACGCUCCUUAAUGCAAGUUCACAAGAUUUGAACUUGAUCACUACACUCUACUGAUACCCUUCAGCCAUUGGUUAUGUGCAAGUGAGGAAAGAAGAGUGUUUCCCAGAAUUUGCUCCCUGCCUCAAGUUCCCCUGAGCUUCCUGUCAACUUCAGGUGACAUUCUAUAGAGGAGGUCCCAGGGACACAUAUCCCUGUGAAGAGACUGGUCUCCAGAAUGUAAACAGGACUCAGAGUGAAUUCCCCACCCCGCCCUUGCUUUUCUAGAAACCAUAGAGAACCUGUUUUGUGAUGGGCUCUGCCACCCCUCAUGUUGGGUCUCCUGUCCAAGAAUUUGUCAUCAGGGCAUUUUAAGACAGAGCCGUCUGUUCAGUGCAGGUUGGCUCUUUUGAACUGCAAGAGACGAGUGUCAGGAACGUGGGCUUGCGCAUGCUUGGACAGCAUGAGAGGUGAGCGGGUAUGGGUAGGUGUAUGCAUGUGUAUAAGGGUAUGCGUGCAUCUGCGUGUGGGUGUGCACAUAGUGGGUAGCUGUGCAUCUGUGGAGGCUGUGUGUGUGUCUGUGGGUGCGCGUGCGGGUGUAGCUAUCCUUGCAAGCACUUGGACCCCCAAAUCAUCCCCAAAAGGAUUAGCAUUGCUUAACGUCAAAAUGUCUCUACGAUCCCUCAAGAUGCUGAGUCUAUGGAGAUGGUAAGGGAGGCAUGGUCAGGAGAUCCCCCACCCCAAUCCUGGUCUCACUAUGAAGUGAGGAUGAUGGGUUGAGGAGUAGCCGUGACUUUGAAGGGUGGAGGAGACUAGUCUCUGGGUAAUUCUAACACUGUCAUUUCCUUCUCUUUUCUUUCCCGUUAUUUUCUGUCUUUAUUGCCUUGUCUCUUUCCUCAUCUCCCUCCCCUCUCCCUCCUCUUAUUAUUCUUACCCGGAUCAUAUAAGAGAACCUCUCUAGAGGACUGUGAGUCCCAUCUCCUCUCCUUCCCCUCAGGCCCUCUCCCCUCUGACUGUGGUGCUAAUCCUUUUGUUCUGACAGCCAGCAAGCCACCCAGCUCCCAGCUCCCAGUAGACUCUUCUUUGUUUGGGUAGGUAACUUCACCACUGCAAACCUUUGCUUUCCAUUGUCCACUUUCUGAUUUCUUUCCCCUUCUUACCCAUGUGACAUUUCCUUGACUACUGCAGCAGAUGCCUGUUCGCAAAUCCCUCCACGUGUAGAAUGUAUUGUAGAUUGUAAGAAUGUAAUCUAUAUUUAUAAACUUACUGACUGUAAAUAUAAAACAUGCACUCUGC
rnacentral:lncRNA from 1 species